GGAUUGUGGCUCAGUGGCAGAGUGCUUGCCUUGCAUGUAUGAGACACUGGGUUCGAUCCUCAGUACCA
rnacentral:tRNA from 1 species